CAAAAUUAUCAUUUAUUCUGUUAGUUCCAUUGUAUACAUUCUGCUCUUCCUUAGGAGAGAGUUCCUUUGUAAUUCUCGUUUAUUAAAGAAGUUUAGCUAUUUCUCUUACAUUAUUUUGAAGGUUCGCAUAUUUCAGUCACGCACUUAAUCCAACGGGUAAGAACAAAUCUGCUUACGAGAGGGAACUAAUGGCCAUAGUUUUUGCAAUCCAAAAGUGGAGACAUUACUUGUUGGGCCAAAAGUUCUACAUUUGCACAGAUAAAAAAAGUCUAAAGUUCUUAAUGGAGCAAAGGGAGGUGAAUCCAGAGUAUCAGAAAUGGCUGAUCAAAUUAACGGGAUAUCAAUUUGAAAUCAGAUAUAAACCUGGAAACGAAAAUAAGGCAGCUGAUGCGUUAUCUUGGAUCAGUUCCUCAGCUGAAUUACUUGCGUUAACAACUCCUAUAGUAUUGCAAUUGGGCAAGCUAGCCAAAGAAGUAGAAGCUGACCUACAGUUGCAAGAAAUCAUUCGGGACAUCCAGAAAAAUCCUUCCAGCAAGCCAGAUUAUGCAAUGGUAAGCGGUUAGAUGUUGUACAAAGGGAGGAUACUUCUACCUAAGGGAUCGAGGUUGAUUCCGUUAAUCUUACAAGAGGGGCAUGACGGAAGAAUAGGAGGUCAUUCUGGGUUUUUAAAAACUUAUAAGCGGAUUGCUACCAAUGUUUACUGGGAAGGAAUGAAGAAGGAAAUCCACCAGUAUGUUAGCAAAUGCACAGUUUGCCAGCAAAACAAGUACGUUAUUUGUCACUCGGGGGCCUGUUACAACCAUUGCCGAUUCCAAAUCAAGUUUGGGAAGAGGUAGCCAUGGACUUUAUUGAAGGGCUACCAAGAUCUGGAACUAUGGAUACUAUUUUAGUGGUGGUCGACAGGUUUAGUAAGUAUGGGCAUUUUAUUGGGCUCAAACAUCCAUUUACGGCGGUAAGUGUGGCGAAGGUAUUUGUUAAAGAAGUGGUGAAGCUUCGUGGGAUUCCCCGUUCCAUAGUAUCAGACCGGGACAAGGUUUUUAUGAGUUUCUUCUGGGAAGAGUUGUUCCGCUUACAAGGUACUACACUCAGCCGCAGUACAGCCUACCAUCCCCAGACCGAUGGGCAGUCUAAGGUGUUGAAUCGCACCCUGGAGACUUAUCUCCAUUGUUUUGCUUCAUCUCAGCCUAAAUCAUGGUUUAGUUGGUUGCCAUGGGCGGAGUUGUGGUACAACACAUCCUAUCAUACGGCAACAAAAAUGACUCCUUUCCAAAUUGUAUAUGGGUGUGAACCCCUACCACUGCUACGAUUUGAAAAAAGUUCCACACCAGUAUCAGUAAUUGAACAUCAACUACUAGAACAUGAUCACAUUUUGGAUGAGUUAAAGGCACAAUUGCUCCAAGCCCAGGCUAAGAUGAAAGGCAUAGCAGAUAAGAAACGGCGAGACAUCCAGUUUCAGAUUGGCGACCUAGUAUACUUGAAGAUUAGACCAUAUCGACGAAAGUCGUUGGCUGCACGCCCAAAUGAGAAGUUGGCUCCAAGGUUCUAUGGCCCGUUCACAGUGGAAAAGAAGAUUGGCCAGGUUGUAUAUAAACUGUCCCUACCUACAACAUGCCACAUCCAUCCAGUUUUCCAUGUGUCACAGUUGCGCAAGGCAGAGGGUGCAGCGCAAGCAGUGAAUGAGGUGCCUGACCAACUAAGUGAGGAGUUAGAAAUGAUGGUGGAACCUGUAGCAGUGCUCGGGGUUCGACCAGGGACAGGUAAUAACAUUAGAGGUAUUGACGUCUUAAUUCAAUGGAAGGGGUUACCACCACUGGAAGCUACAUGGGAAUCCUUUGACCGACUGAAACAACAAUUUCCCUCCUUUCACCUUGAGGACAAGGUGAGUUUCGUUGGGGGGAGUAAUGAUAGGCUCGCAGUCCAAGUCACAUAUCAAAGGCGCAACAAGAAUACAAGGGCAGAAUAGGAAAUGAAGAAGGAGAAAUAGGCACAUGCUCAAUUUGUUAGAAGGAAUCAUCGAGAAGCACGAGUAACCUAUAAAUAAGAGAAUAUUGACAGUUGAAAGGUAGGCAGAAAUUGGUAAUCUGUUCGAAGAGGAUUGGCUAUCUCGAAUAGCUAAAAUUAUCUUUUAUUCUGUUAGUUCCAUUGUAUACAUUCUGCUCUUCCUUAGCAGAGAGUUCCUUUGUAAUUCUCUUUUAUUAAAGAAGUUUAGCUAUUUCUC
rnacentral:lncRNA from 1 species